GGGGUCGUAGUAUAACCUGGCUAGUAUUCCAGGUUUGGGACCUGGAGAUCUGGGUUCAAAUCCCAGCGACCCCA
rnacentral:tRNA from 1 species